GGGGCCUACGGGAGGCAGCAGUGGGGAAUAUUGGGCAAUGGAGGAAACUCUGACCCAGCGACGCCGCGUGCGGGAUGAAGGCCUUCGGGUUGUAAACCGCUUUCAGCAGGGAAGAAGCGAAAGUGACGGUACCUGCAGAAGAAGCACCGGCUAACUCCGUGCCAGCAGCCGCGGUAAUACGGAGGAUGCAAGCGUUAUCCGGAUUUAUUGGGUUUAAAGGGUCCGUAGGCGGAUCUUUAAGUCAGUGGUGAAAGCCCACAGCUCAACUGUGGAACUGCCAUUGAUGCUGGAGAUCUUGAGUGUAGUAGAAGUAGGCGGAAUAGGGCAUGUAGCGGUGAAAUGCAUAGAUAUGCCCUAGAACACCGAUUGUGAAGGCAGCUUACUAUGUUACAACUGACGCUGAGGGACGAAAGCGUGGGGAGCAAACAGGAUUAGAUACCCUGGUAGUCCACGCUGUAAACGAUGAUUACUCGCUGUUGGCGACAUACAGUCAGCGGCCAAGCGAAAGCAUUAAGUAAUCCACCUGGGGAGUACGCCGGCAACGGUGAAACUCAAAGGAAUUGACGGGG
rnacentral:rRNA from 1 species